rnacentral:rRNA from 1 species
AGUCAACAUGCCCAGGGGACGUGGAUAACCUCGGGAAACUGAGGAUAAACCACGAUAGGUCAUAAUAUCUGGAAUGAUUUAUGGCUAAAAUCUACAUGGCCUCUGGAUUGGACUGCGGCCGAUCAGGCUGUUGGUGAGGUAAUGGCCCACCAAACCUAAAACCGGUACGGGCUCUGAGAGGAGAAGCCCGGAGAUGGGCACUGAGACAAGGGCCCAGGCCCUAUGGGGCGCAGCAGGCGCGAAAACUCUGCAAUAAGCGAAAGCUUGACAGGGUUAUUCUGAGUGAUUUCCGCUAAGGAAAUCUUUUGGCACCUCUAAAAAUGGUGCAGAAUAAGGGGUGGGCAAGCCUGGUGUCAGCCGCCGCGGUAAUACCAGCACCCCGAGUGGUCGGGACGAUUAUUGGGCCUAAAGCAUCCGUAGCCGGUUCUACAAGCCUUCCGUUAAAUCCAUCUGCUUAACAGAUGGGCUGCGGAGGAUACUAUGGAGCUAGGAGGCGGGAGAGGCAAGCGGUACUUAGUGGGUAGGGGUAAAAUCCGUUGAUCCACUGAAGACCACCAGUGGCGAAGGCGGCUUGCCAGAACGCGCUCGACGGUGAGGGAUGAAAGCUGGGGAAGCAAACCGGAUUAGAUACCCGGGUAGUCCCAGCUGUAAACGAUGCAGACUCGGUGAUGAAUAGGCUUCGUGCCUUUUCAGUGCCGCAGGGAAGCCGUUAAGUCUGCCGCCUGGGGAGUACGGUCGCAAGACUGAAACUUNA